rnacentral:rRNA from 1 species
AACGAACGCUGGCGGCGUGCCUAACACAUGCAAGUCGAGCGGGAAAGUUCCCUUCGGGGAGCGAGUACAGCGGCGCACGGGUGAGUAACACGUAGGUAACCUACCCUGGAGACCGGGAUAACCUGCCGAAAGGCGGGCUAAUACCGGAUGAGACCACGAGGGCUGCGGCCCUUGAGGAAAAAGAUGGCCUCUACUUGUAAGCUAUCACUCCGGGAUGGGCCUGCGCGCCAUUAGCUAGUUGG